UAAUACGGAGGGUGCAAGCGUUGUCCGGAUUUAUUGGGUUUAAAGGGUGCGUAGGCGGCUUAUUAAGUCAGGGGUGAAAGACUGCAGCUCAACUGUAGCAGUGCCUUUGAUACUGAUGAGCUUGAGUACAGAUGAGGCUGGCGGAAUGGGUGGUGUAGCGGUGAAAUGCAUAGAUACCAUCCAGAACACCGAUUGCGAAGGCAGCCGGCUAAACUGUAACUGACGCUGAGGCACGAAAGCGUGGGGAUCGAACAGGAUUAGAUACCCUGGUAGUCCACGCUGUAAACGAUGAAGACUCGAUGUUAGGGAUAUACUCUUAGCGUCCAAGCGAAAGCGUUAAGUCUUCCACCUGGGGAGUACGCCCGCAAGGGUG
rnacentral:rRNA from 1 species